GGAGUUAGCCGGUGCUUCUUAUGUGAGUGAUGUCCUUCCUGCCGGCUAUUAACCCGCAGGCCUUCUUCCUCACUGAAAGUGCUUUACAACCCGAAGGCCUUCUUCACACACGCGGCAUGGCUGGAUCAGGGUUGCCCCCAUUGUCCAAUAUUCCCCACUGCUGCCUCCCGUAGGAGUCUGGGCCGUGUCUCAGUCCCAGUGUGGCUGAUCAUCCUCUCAGACCAGCUACGGAUCGUCGCCUUGGUGAGCCGUUACCUCACCAACCAGCUAAUCCGACAUAGGCUCAUCCGAUAGCGCGAGGCCCGAAGGUCCCCCGCUUUCCCCCGUAGGGCGUAUGCGGUAUUAGCCUGGGUUUCCCCAGGUUAUCCCCCACUACCGGGCAGAUUCCUAUGCAUUACUCACCCGUCCGCCGCUCGCCACCAGGGAGCAAGCUCCCCGUGCUGCCGCUCGACUUGCAUGUGUUAGGCCUGCCGCCAGCGUUCAAUCUGAGCCAUGAUCAAACUCUGA
rnacentral:rRNA from 1 species